rnacentral:rRNA from 1 species
CUACGGGGUGCUGCCGUGGGGAAUAUUGCACAAUGGGCGCAAGCCUGAUGCAGCCAUGCCGCGUGUCUGCAGAAGGCCUUCGGGUUGUAAAGUACUUUCAGCGGGGAGGAAGGGAGUAAAGUUAAUACCUUUGCUCAUUGACGUUACCCGCAGAAGAAGCACCGGCUAACUCCGUGCCAGCAGCCGCGGUAAUACGGAGGGUGCAAGCGUUAAUCGGAAUUACUGGGCGUAAAGCGCACGCAGGCGGUUUGUUACGUCAGAUGUGAAAUCCCCGGGCUCAACCUGGGAACUGCAUCUGAUACUGGCAAGCUUGAGUCUCGUAGAGGGGGGUAGAAUUCCAGGUGUAGCGGUGAAAUGCGUAGAGAUCUGGAGGAAUACCGGUGGCGAAGGCGGCCCCCUGGACGAAUACUGACGCGCAGGUGCGAAAGCGUGGGGAGCAAACAGGAUUAGAUACCCCGGUAGUC